GCCCCCAUAGCUCAACGGAUAGAGCGGCGGCCUCCGGAGCCGUAGAUCUGGGUUCGAGUCCUAGUGGGGGUACCA
rnacentral:tRNA from 1 species